GUGGCCUAGGGGGUCGGCGCGGCCGCGGCUUCUCGUCGUCUCCGCCGUCGCCUCGACGCCUCGAUGCCCAGCCGGCCGCCGCCGCACAUCAUGAGGUGGAAUGCGACCCAUUCCCUCGCCGUCCCCUCGGCCCAGGCUACCCCUAGCGCCACGGUCGCCAUGCCCUGUCGUCUCCUCGACAGGAGGAAGAGCGAGGCCACAAACGGAUCUGGAGAUUGAAUCGGGCUCCAAUGGCUCCUGCGCGGCAUGAUGCAUGUUAAGGGUGGUUGCUAUCUCAGACAUCUCCUCGUCCCUCUUCGUGUGCUGCUAGGAGCCUAUAUGUGAUGUGUACUUGUGUUGGUGCCUUUACAGAAGAACCAUUAUGCCUUCCUCUCGGUGUGUGUUGUUGAGGCUAUCAAACAAGCCAAUGGCGUUGCAUAAAUGGUUUGUGAAGAUUGUCAUUGGAGUCUAGCUGGGGUAGUAGGCUGUCAAAAAGAUGCGGUCGCUUGUAGAACCUUGCAUGUGCCGUUAGUGAGUGGUCUUGUGGAGUUGCAGGACUGGGCAGGAGGACCGUAGGCUGCACACACAAACGAGGAUGUCGAGUUGUCCACGAUGAUGUCGUGGUUGAUUGGGACUCGGAAGGAGUGUCGACCGUGAAUACAAAGAGGAGGUCGAGCCAUCGCCAUUCAUCUAGACGCCUGCCAUGCACAAGUCGACACAUCUAUAGAAAUCUAGAGUUCGCCAAAGCUGGCCAUGCUGUCGCAGAUCGGUUCAUGGUCGCGUGGGGCAUCCUCUGGAGCUUCCCUGAGACCAAGAGUCCAAGACACACAUUCUGGAGAUCAGUUGGUCCAUCGCUGAGCAUUUGUGCGGUGCUGCAUCUACAUUUAGGGAGGCUCACAAGGAGACCAUAGACCAUAGAGCAGCAGAUUGUGUACAAUGAUGGCAUCAAGCCCAAAUACAGCAUGCUCUUUUAGUCAGAAGGCCUUACACCAUUGCCGUUCCCCAGGACUCGGAAGGAGGAUGGCCGCCCGUAGACGAAAGAGGAGGUUGAGACAUCUGCUGUGCCUGCUGCAGCGACCACGACUACUGCAUCAAAAGAAACUUGACCGGCCGGUGCCGCGCGAAUCUGGUUCGACGAGGUCGUUGGCGACCUGCUGCGGGAGCGGGAUAACGGGAUCAGCUCCGGGAGGUCCGGGGCACGCUGCUGCCGCUCGUGCGGCAGAAUGUCUUUGGUCUUCAAUCUGUUUUCUUCUUCAAUGAAGCUAACCACGAUAUCCUGCACGUACUGCACCGCUCCCAGAGUUUCCACGGCGCGGCGGCUCGAACUGACGCUCUCAGCCACAGCGCGCCUGGAUCAGUCAGGUCGAUCGAGGGACAAUACUGGCAACCGCUCGUCCGUGCUGAUCUUCGACCGAGAUAGAGUUCAGGUUAUCACACCAUAUGAAGUGAAAGCGCCGUUGGGACUGCUCGCGGUGCAUAGAACUUCCAUGGCAGCACGGGCGAUUCGAAGGCCCACUUGAGCUCCUCCUGCUGAUGUCAGACGGUGAGGUUUCUCAACCUCCACUCUAUUAGCCAUGGUCACAAAGUCUUUGUGCCAGGAUUCUUCCCUUUGUAAAUGUGAAAGCGGCUUGUACGAUCUAUUCACAGACUUGCUCUGCUGCUUUGUAGCCCAACUGAUUAUGUACUCUUGAUCAUCCUCAUGGCAUCUGUCAACUCCAUUGUGAAUCGUCUCUUUAUCUUAAGGCUGACUUGCUAUGCUAGAAUGAU